rnacentral:lncRNA from 1 species
CUCUCGCUGCCCUCGCCGGGCCCAGCCGCCCGGAGGCCCCGCGGCCGGCGGUCGCGACGGGGGCGACGCGGCGACGGCGGCUCGGGGCGCGGCGCUUGCCCGCGCUAGCCAGCAGGCCGCGAUCGGGCGCCCGUGCCCAGCCUCGGCCUGGCCGCCGCCGCCGCCGCCGCGCCGCGCGUAGGGAGGAAGAGGAAAUGCCCGGCGCCGGCUCCCGCUGCUCACCGGCGCGGCCCGAGGGGCGCCCGCCCGCCACGCCGCCCCUAGCCCCGCCUGGGGCGGGCCUAGGCCGGGCUAUAGGGGCCAGGGCCUUGGGCUGCGCCGGCCGCGGGAGGUGGGUGCUUCUCGGCGGCGAGCUGCGACUCGGAGAGACUCCUGUCCGCAGGUGCAUGGCUUCCGGGCGGGCCUCGGGCAGCGAGCUCCAGCCCCACUGAGAGGCCGCGGACCGCCUGGGGACUUGUGUUUGUGUGUAUUUUAAGCCAACAGCCCAGAAAGGGAAGGCGACUGGCCCCCGGUCUUCGCCAGUGUUUCCCGGCCGGGUUACUGGUGGUCAGGAGGGAAGCCAGGAGGCUGCCGGGCUCCGAGGCCGAUUCCUUGCGAACCAUCUCCGUUAAAGACUCCGCGCCGGGCAGCCCGGGAGUCCGGCGGUACCCGCGCAAACUUUGUCCCAGCGCCUUGGCUCACCGUGAAUGCCCUGCCUUGAAAAUUUGGAGUUUUUUGUUUCCUGAAAGUGGUCUGCUUUUCCGAUUUUAUCUGUGUUUUCCAUUUUUACCUUCUUAUUGUCAAUUUGUUUUCAGGCAUUAUUAAUUCAACAAAUCUUUGUACUGCCCCUUACCACGUGUCGAUGGUUCCGUGGUUUGGUGGAAAUAGAUCGCGCUUUGAAGUCAAGACGGAUCGGCCAUGGAAUUUUGGCUCUGAGAUCCUCUGUGUAACCGUGGAUGAGCUACAAGGCCUGCUGAGCCUCCAUUUGUCUGGUUUUUGUGGUUGUUUUAAUUUAUCUUUUUCCAUUUGAAGUUGUGGGUUUUGCAUAAAAUUGAACUGUUACCAGGCUAAGUCAACUGAAAUUGGAAUCUGGGGUACUGCUUGCUUUGAGGUUACUCUUAUACUGUCCACCAUUUGCUGGCUGUGUGAUCUCUAAACCUCUCUGUGCCCUGACUUUUCUAUCUUUAAAAUGGACGUAACAACAGAGGUUUAAUAAUAAGAGGUUUGGAGGUUAAGUGCUAAAAUGCAUAUAAAAUACCUAGCACAGGACACAGUAAAAAGAUUGUUACCGUAUUUCAUUGAAUCUGGUUUUAAGACACUUCCUGAUUUCAAAGAAACUAAAAGCUCAUCUUGAAGUCCAGGAAGUAGGUUUUGGGUCACUCAGAACUCCCAAGGGACUGUAUUUGGUAGUAACUAGUGAUAAACAAACUGGAGUUUAAAUGAGGACUUUGUCACCAGAGAUAUUUUUAUUGCCUGUAUGGAGCUCCUGCACAAAUUUAUUCCAUUUCUCUUGUAGAAAGAGAUCCAACCUGGCCGUAAAUGGGGUGUGGUGGAGUAGAAAGAAGGGUAUUAAGUAAAGCUCUGUGUCGAUGCCUUUCUGAGCAUUUUACGGUGUUGGCAUAUGUGAUCCUGGGUAUCAGGAGCCUCAAUUUCUUGGGCUGUAAAAAUGGGGAGAACAACGCUGAUCCCAUUGUCUCCUGAUGGGUAAGUGAUGUCUAUAAAUAAAUUGUAUAGAGAUUAAGGCAUUAUCAGUGCUGUAGUCUGAUAAAAUGGUGGAGCAGAUAGGAAAGCCUACAACAGUACUGAACUGCAGGAGGGACUAAGAGUAAAUAUAGAGAUUUCAUUUGCUUGGUUUUGCAGAGGGUUAGCUAACUAAACAGAUAACUUUGUUUUCGACAGUUACUUCAUUUUUUUCAGUCAGGCAAGAGUAAGGAGAGAGUAACUAAACCAUUUUUUUUCCUCUUUAAAUAAGAGUAAGCAGAAAUAUUAUGGUUAUUUGGGGUUUUCAUGACCUUCAUUCACUUAGCGGUCAGGCUGUUCAAUUUAAAACAACCUUUUGCUUGCUGCCCUGCCAUAUGGGAAAUUUCAUUUCCAAAAAAAGGAUUAAUUUCCAGCCUGGGCGAAACCCUAUCUCUACGGAAAAUAUAAAAAUUAGCGGCCAGGAGCAGUGGCUCAUACCUGUAAUCCCAGCACUUUGGGAGGCCGAGGCAGGUGGAUCACGAGGUCAGGAGUUCAAGAUCAGCCUGGCCAAGAUGGUGAAACCCCAUCUCUACUAAAAAUACAAAAAUUAGCCUGAUGUGGUGGCACGCGCCUGUAAUCCCAGCUACUUGGGAGGCUGAGGCAGAGAACUGCUUGAACCUGGGAGCAUUCCAGCCUGGAUGACAGAGUGAGACUCCGUCUCAAAAAAAAAAAAAAAAUUAGCUGGGCGUGGUGGCAUCCGCCUUUGGUCCCAAAUACUCAGGAGGCUGAGGUGGGAGGAUUGCUUGAGCCCAGGAGGUCGAGUCUGCAGUGAGCCGUGAUUGUACCACCACAUCCUAGUCUGAGUGACAGUGUGACACUCUGUCUCAAAAAAGAAAAGAAGAUCAAGAAGGAUUAAUUUAAAUCCUUAUACCAAAUUGUCUACCAAAUGAUUUUUGUUCCACUCCAGAAAUGUUUUCCUCCAGUCCCUUCCUCUCUCUGCACCCUCCUGAGUUCUCCUUUCUUCUGUGGACAACUGUAACUAAUGCGUGUUUUUGCUAGGCUGACCCUUCUUUCAUACUAUGGCCCAAUUAUGUUUUUUCAAAUAAGCUAAUGGAUGUAAGCACUGGUGAAAUCUGAAUAAGGUCUGUAGUCUACUUGAUAGUAUUGUACCAAUGUCAGUUUCCUGGCUUUUGAUAUUUUUCCAUAGCUUUGUAAGAUGUUCCCAUUUGAGAAAGUGUACCUGGGCCCUCUUUGCAACUACCUAUGGGUAAAUGAUUAUUUCAAAGUAAAAAAUUAAAGUAUAGGGACAGAAAUUAGAUCAAUGGUUACUGGCAACUGGAGCUGGGGAAGGGUGGACUGAUCACACUUUUUGAGAUGAUGAGAAUAUUCUCUAACUUGAUUGUGGUAUUUACAUUACUGGAUGACUCUGUGAAUCUGUCAAAACUCAUAGAACUAUACACCUAAAAGGGUGGUUUUUUUUUUUUUUUUUUUUUUUAGAUGAAGUCUCGCUCUUGUCCCCCAGGCUGGAGUGCAAUGGUGUGAUCUCGGCUCAUUGCAACCUCCGCCUCCCGGAUUCAAGCGAUUCUCCUGCCUCAGCCUCCCAAGUAGCUGGGAUUACAGGUGCAUACCACCACGCCCGGCUAAUUUUUUGUAUUUUAAGUAGAGGCGGGGUUUCACCAUGUUGGCCAGGCUGGUCUCGAACUCCUGACCUCAAGUGAUCUACCCGCCUCGGCCACCCAAAGUGCUGGGAUUACAGGCGUGAGCCUCCGCACCCAGCCAAAGGGUGGUUUUUACUUCUAUAUAAAUUAUACUUCAGUAAACCUGAAUUAAGAUAAGGAAAGCAAGCUCUUGGCCGGGUGCAGUGGCUCACGCCUGUAACCCCAGCACUUUGGGAGGCGGAGAUGGGCGGAUCACGAGGUCAAGAGAUCGAGAGCAUCCUGGCUAAAUGGUGAAACCCUGUCUCUACUAAAAAUACAAAAAAAUUAGCCAGGCGUGGUGGUGGGCAUCUGUAGUCCCAGCUACUUGGGAGGCUGAGGCAGGAGAAUGGCGUGAACCCGGGAGGCGGAGCUUGCAGUGAGCCGAGAUCGCGUCCAGACCUGGGUGACAGAGCGAGACUCCCUCUCAAAAAAAAAAGAAAAGCAAGCUCUCAUCACCCCAGCCUCCUGGGGCUUGUAGGAUGAAAUGUAACUUUAAGGCCCAACGUGCUUUUCCAGCAUACGGACUCUUCCUGCCAGCGCACCCUGGGCUUCCUUGUACUGUAUUAAUUCCUGCCCCUGUGCCUUUGUGCAUACUCUUCCUUCUGCUUAGGUGGAGCAUAGGAAAGUAAAGUCAAAAUUCGGGUUCCCUGUACUCCUGUAAGCCUUCCCUGCCUCCCUUAGGCAAACCAGUAAUUUCCUAACUUCCUCCUCUGCUCACUCAUGUCGUGCUGUAAUUUUUAAUUCGUUUUCAUCUUUUUUCUCAACUAGACUCCUCAAAGGCAGCGACCACAUUGUUCUUUGUCUCUGGGAUCCAGUAGUGUUGAAUGACCCACAGAGAAGAAGUCUAUGCCAGAGAACGAGUGACCAGAAGAGGCUAUGCUCACAGAAGUCAGAGAAGCAGAGUCUUCAGGAAGGGAGAACAUCGGUGUCCACCAAGCAGAGAUACCUCAUGAGAUAGAUUGAAGUGUGGCCCCUGGAUUUCAGAAAUGGAUGUCAUCUGUCCAUGGAGGAGUAGGGUAAGAAGCUGCAUUGCAGUAGGCUGAAGGGUGUCCUUGGAAGCCUAGAAACUGACAGUAGCUAUAGAUGACUUCUAGAAGAUGAGCUGAAAUAAGAAUGUGAAACAAACUCAACCACUAGGAAUCAAAUCCAAAUUAAAAGGAGACACCAUUUCACCUCUUAAAUUGGCAGAAAAAUACUUUUAAUAAUACUUGAUAAUGAGGAUGUCAAGAAAGGAAUAUGACUUGUUACAAGCAUUCCAAAUGGGAUUUUAUGGUAGGUUUCAAGAGCAAUAGAUUUUUGCCCAUUCUUUGCCAUAGUAAUCCCAGCUCAACUCAGUCUAUUUAAGUAAUUACUGAUAGAUGCAAAGAUUUUAGACACAAGAAUGUUUAUCACAGUGUUCUUUUUAAUAUUUAAAAUUGAAAACCUAUAAAUUAUUGUCUAUCCAAACCAAAAGCAGCAACUAAAAAUGGGUAAUGAACUAGAAAUAUGAUGUGUUUUUAGUGAAAAAAGCAGGUUACAAAACAUUCUUUUCUAAAUUAUGUAUGUACAGCCUGAUGUCAUUAUUGUUUUUGUUUUUUUGAGACUGGGUCUUGCUCUGUCAUCCAGGCUGGAGUACAGUGGCAUGAUCAUGGCUCACUGCAGCCUCGACCUCCCAGGUUCAAGCGAUCCUCCCACCCUCACUCUCCUGAGUAGCUGAGCCUACAGGCAUGUACCACCAGGCCCAGCUAAUUUUAAGUUUUUUUUUUUUUUUUAGAGUUGAGGUCUUGCUAUGUUGCUCAUGCUGGUCUCAAAUUCCUGGCAUCAAAUGAUCCUCCCACCUCAGCCUCCCGAAGUGCUGGGAUUACAGGCGUGAGCCAUGGCACCUGUCCUCAUUUUUUAUUUUUAAUAAAACAUGUAAAGAUUGGAUGGCUAUCAGAGUCAAUAUGGUUAUGGGGGUAUAAUAUGGAUGAUGUAUUUUUUUUUAUGUUACCCAGGUUUGUUAUAUGGUAUAUAGCAUGAUGCUGAGGUUUGGGGUGUGAAUGAUUAUAUCACUCAGGCACUAAGCAUUGUACCCAGAAGGUAGGUUUUCAGCCCUUGACUCACUCCCUCUCUCUUCCAUCUAGUAGUCCCCAAUAAAUACAUAUUUAUUGAGUCUUCUGGGUCCACUGAGGACACAAUCAUGAAAAAGAAAACUAUGUCCCCAUCCUGGAGGUGUUUACAUUCUGGUGACAAAACUAAUUGAAGCAGUUCUGAUUGAUGUUUUGAGAGCUUAUGAUAAGAAGCUUGGCAGAGGCCGGGCAUGGUGGCUCACACCUGUAAUCCCAGCACUUUGGGAGGCUGAGGCAGGUGGAUCACUUGAGGUCAGGAGUUGAAGACCAGCCUGGCCAACAUGUGAAACCCUGUCUCUACUAAAAAUAACAAAAAUUAGCUGGGCGUCAUGGCACACUCCUGUAAUCCCAGCUACUUGGGAGGCUGAGGCAGGAGGGUCACUUGAGCCCAGGAGCUGGAGGUUGCAGUGAGCCAAGACUGUGCCACCACUCAACAGAGUGAGACUCCGUCUCAAAAAAAAAAAAAAAAAAAAAAAAAAAAAAAGCUUGUCAGAGAAAUAAAUGAGAAAUUAAAAGAUGGUAAGUGGAGGCCCCAGAGUGAAGGGAAGUGUUUUUGGUUUUAGGAAUAGGAGAGUCUAGUGUGUUUAGAGGUUUAGGGGAAGGAUCCAGGAGAGGCAGCAGAGAACUGAAGGGUGUAUGUGUGUGUGGAGCAGGGAGGUGGGGGUGGUGAGGGUGGGAGAUGGAGGGGAGAAGGAGCCCAGAUAAAUUUAGCUUCCACCAGGAGCAGGAUGCCUCUUCCUCUGCUGGUGCUAUAGGAAGGUUGCCAAUGGGCCGGGUGCGGUGGCUCAUGCCUGUAAUCCUAGCACUUUGAGAGCCCAAGGUAGGUGUAUCACGAGGUCAGGAGUUCAAGACCAGCCUGGCCAGUAUGGUGAAACCCUGUCUCUACUAAGAAAAUACAAAAAUUGGCCAGUGACGGUGGCUCGCACCUGUAAUCCCAGCACUUUGGGAGGCCGAGGCGCGUAGAUCAGGAGGUCAGGAGGUCAGGAUUUCAAGACCAGCCUGGCCAAGAUGGUGAAACCCCAUCUCUACUAAAAAUACAAAAAUUAGCUGGGCAUGGUGGCUCGCGCCUGUAGUCCCAUCUACUCAGGAGGCUGAGGCAGGAGAAUCGCUUGAACCCGGGAGGUGGAGGUUGCAGUGAGCCGAGAUCGUGCCACUGCACUCCAGCCUGAGAGACAGAGUGAGACUCUGUCAAAAAAGAAAAAUUGCCAGUGGAGAUAAAGGUGUCCAUUUGGGUAGGUCAGGAAGCUGUGGUAUUCAUGCCUCAUGGCCUUCAUUUUCUUAGAGCGUAGGGUAAAAUCAUGCCAUUUUUUGCCUCUGUGCCUCAUAAGUUUGUACUCCUUCCUCCUUUAAAAAUCAGCUGUAAGAGCUGGAUGUGCUGUAAGGGCUGGACGUGGUGGCACAUGCCUGUAGUUCCUACUUGGGAAGCUGAGAUGGGAGGACCACUUGAGUCCGGGAGGUUGAGGCUGCAGUGAGCUAUGAUUGCACCACUGCUCUCCAGCCUGGGUGACAGAGCAACACCUUGUCUCUUGGGAAAAAAAAAAAAAAAAAAAAUCAGCUCCAGACCCCUGCCUUUGUGAACCUUUUCUUGAAGGAAAGAGUGUGGGUUGGGGCCACUUCCAGUGGAAUCACCAGGAGGGGAGUGGAGGGAGGAGGGAAGGUGCUCAGAAUAAACAUUCAAUGUCCCUGAGCAUUCCUAGAUCAACCGGAUCAGGAUCUCUGAAGGAUGGGGCUCAAAGAUUGGCAUUUGAAAGAACACCCGUGGGGAUCCUGAUGGUGCAAUAAAGUUGUAGAACCACCUCACUAAGUGCUCCCAAUUCCUUUUACAAUUCUCUAUUAUUGCAAUUUAAUCCUUUCACUUCCCCCACUGGGCUGCCCUUGGGCAGGAGUAGGUGUCUUUGUUUACAUACUUGUAGCACAGCCCUGCAGUUGGCUAUCAUAGUGGGCUUUGGGUGCUUAUUUGUGAAAUGAAUGAUGUGUACAAAACUGGAACCCAGAUGUCCUGAUUCCCAGACUCAUAAUUUGCUCUAUCACAUUUUAUCUCUAGAAGCUGCUGAAUUCCUCAGGAAGGCAUUUCCUGGUCCAACUGUGCCUAAAACUCAUAUGCCAAUUUAAAAAGCACAAAUCCACAUAGAAAGAUUCUCUGAAGAAGGAGACAGUGUAUGGGGGAUUGGUUGCUCUAAGGAAGAUUAGAAAAUGAGGUCACCUGAAAGUGAAGGGAGCGGGAUGCACACAAAGUAACAAGCCCCUGGAGCAGGUCUGUUCCAAGUGUGUCACCCAGGUCUCCCCCAAAAACCAUCAAGGAGUUAGAAACAUACUGUGGAAAAGAUCCCUAGAAUGUAACAGUUAAGAAGCUGGAUGCUCAGGAGGUAAUGAGUCAUAGAAUGCUUGUGUGUGGACUGCAUGGAAUCCAGAAAAGGGGAAGCCAUAGGUUAGAAAUUAUAGCGUCUCAGCUGGGCACGGUGGCUCACGCCUGUAAUCCUAGCUCUUUGGGAGGCUGAGGUGGGUGGAUCACCUGAGGUCAGGAGUUCGAGACCAGCCUAGCCAACAUGGCUUCACCGUCUCUACUGAAAAUACAAAAAUUAGCCAGCGUGGUGGCGGACGCCUAUAAUCCCAGCUAUUCAGGAGACUGAGGCAGGAGAAUCGCCUGAACCCGGUGGGGUGGAGGUUGCAGUGAGCCAAGAUCGCGCCACUUCAUUCCAGCCUGGGUGAAAAAGCAAAACUCUUGUCUCAAAAAAAAAAAAAAAAAAGAAGAAGCAAUUAGAAUUUAUAGAGUUGUUGUAAUAUCCAAAGGUAUAGAUGCUCUGAUACCACUGGGUAGUGCUGUUAAUUUAGAAAGAACUGGUCCAAAAGAAUGCGAAUUCAUCUUAGGAGAAAUGGGUGUUUCCACUAAGAACAGCUCAUCCCUUUUCUUUAAUCAUUUAGUAACUCUUUAUAGAUUACCUCCAAUGUGUCAGGGGCUGUAUUCACUGUGUCUUGCCGGAGAUAUGACAGUGGGCAAAACAGGUACAGGACGUACCCUUGAGAACUCACAGUAUUAUUCUUGUUUAUUCAUCAGGUUUCUAACCUGUAAUUUGAUAUGCUUUGUGGAUUUGCCUGGCACUCUGAGCAAAUGACCAAAACCAAUUAUUCUGCCAGGUAGGCCUCUGUUCUCACGUUAAUAACAUUCUAGUUGUGAGUCAUUUAUGACUUCGAUGAGAGAGUAUAAAACAAACAGUUCCAUUAGGGGUUGGUUUUUCCCUGGACAAAUGGGUACAGAGCUGGGCCUGCUGAUGAGCUCAGCAAGAAGUCCCCACCCUGGGAAGCCCUGCCAACUGCCAGCACCUUGUAUUCAGCAGGCUCUCAGCCACACACAGGCUAAGUCACAGCCCCUGGCCCCAUUAGGAAUGUGUGUAUCCUUUCCUGCCUGAAUGGCCCACUGAGAGGUCGUUGGGAAAAUUCUUGGAGCGUCGGAUUCCUGGAUGUCUUGAAUUCCAAAGAGCUUGAAUCAGCACAAAGCUUAGGGCCCAGGGCUGUAUUUUAAAGGAAGACGCAGCAGGGGCAGGUGAUGGUAAAUAGAGGAGAGUGAACAUGGCGGGAACAGACUUCAGGCUGCACCUGUGACUGAGGACAGCCCCCAAAUUCUUAGUUCUGAGAGAAACCCCUGAGGGCCAAAAACAGCAUGCUCAGUUCCUGGUAAUUCCUUAAAAACAGGCUUCUAUCAGACCUGGCUCUAAAAAAACAUUCACUCAGGCUGGAUCCAGGUUUGGGGCCCUGAG